GUUUGAUACCCCGAAACUACGUGAGCUACUUCAAGACAGCCUAUUAAUAGGGCUAACCCAUCUCUGUGGCAAAAGCGUGGGAAGAACUUUGAGUAGAGGUGACAAACCUACCGAACCUAGUUAUAGCUGGUUGUCCAAGAAAUGAAUAAAAGUUCAGCCUCUAAGCUUCUCCUUUCACCUGAACUUAACCCCUUUAGAUGUAUUAAAGAAACUAAGAAAGUUAGUCAAAGGAGGUACAGCUCCUUUGAAUCAAGACACAACUUUAACAGGCGGGUAAAGAUCAUAAUAACCAAAGCUAGACAUUCUGGUGGGCCUAAAAGCAGUCAUCCCUUAGAAAGCGUUAAAGCUCAAACAUAUUACUUAUACCUUCUUAUCCUGAUCAAUAAAUCUCACCCCCCUAACCAUACUGGACCCUCCCAUGCCCCCAUGGGUGUGAUUAUGCUAAUAUGAGUAAUAAGAGAGCCCGCCUCUCUCCCUGCACACGUGUACCUCGGAACAGACAACCCACCGACCAUUAACGACCCCAAACAAAGAGGGCAAUAAAUCAUAAACUAAAAUCAAGUAAAACAUUUAAAAAUUAACCGUUAACCCCACACAGGUGUACCCCAAGGAAAGACCUAAAGAAAGAGAAGGAACUCGGCAAACACAUAAAGUCUCGCCUGUUUACCAAAAACAUCGCCUCUUGUACCCCCC
rnacentral:rRNA from 1 species